CGAAGGAUCCAAGCGUUGUCCGGAUUUACUGGGUUUAAAGGGUGCGUAGGCGGACUUUUAAGUCAGUGGUGAAAGCCUGUAGCUUAACUAUAGAAUUGCCAUUGAAACUGAAAGUCUCGAGUGUGGUUGAGGUAACUGGAAUAUAUCAUGUAGCGGUGAAAUGCUUAGAUAUGAUAUAGAACACCAAUUGCGAAGGCAGGUUACUGAGCCAUUACUGACGCUGAGGCACGAAAGCGUGGGGAUCAAACAGGAUUAGAUACCCUGGUAGUCCACGCCGUAAACGUUGCAUACUCGAUCUUAGCGAUACACAGUUAGGAUACAAGCGAAAGCGUUAAGUAUGCCACCUGGGAAGUACGAUCGCAAGAUUG
rnacentral:rRNA from 1 species